UGAGUAACAACGAAUGGCGAGAAGUCAGCAGAGGUCAUAGUACCAUCGUAGUUGCAAACAUGAUGGAAAGGAC
rfam:Lachnospiraceae bacterium A2 genomic scaffold acPFL-supercont1.1, whole genome shotgun sequence.